ACCUGGUUUGAAACAUUGGUUCCCGCACGAUCACCAAAGGUAAGCAACGUCGAGCCAGGUCAGUACCUAGAUGGGUGACCGCUUGGGAAU